rnacentral:rRNA from 1 species
GACGAACGCUGGCGGCGUGCUUAACACAUGCAAGUCGAACGGAAAGGCCCUGCUUUUGUGGGGUGCUCGAGUGGCGAACGGGUGAGUAACACGUGAGUAACCUGCCCUUGACUUUGGGAUAACUUCAGGAAACUGGGGCUAAUACCGGAUAGGAGCUCCUGCUGCAUGGUGGGGGUUGGAAAGUUUCGGCGGUUGGGGAUGGACUCGCGGCUUAUCAGUUUGUUGGUGGGGUAGUGGCUUACCAAGGCUUUGACGGGUAGCCGGCCUGAGAGGGUGACCGGCCACAUUGGGACUGAGAUACGGACCAGACUCCUACGGGAGGCAGCAGUGGGGAAUAUUGCACAAUGGGCGGAAGCCUGAUGCAGCAACGCCGCGUGCGGGAUGACGGCCUUCGGGUUGUAAACCGAUUUCGCCUGUGACGAAGCGUGAGUGACGGUAAUGGGUAAAGAAGCACCGGCUAACUACGUG